rnacentral:rRNA from 1 species
GACGUAGGAGGCGAGCGUUGUCCGGAGUUACUGGGCGUAAAGGGUGCGCAGGCGGCCCCUUAAGGUGGCGGUGAAAGCUCCUGGCUCAACUGGGAGAGGGCCGUGACGACUGGGGGGCUUGAGGGCCACAGAGGGACAUGGAACUCCAGGUGUAGUGGUGAAAUGCGUAGAUAUCUGGAAGAACACCAAAGGCGAAGGCAGUGUCCUGGGUGGUCGCUGACGCUGAGAGGCGAAAGCCAGGGGAGCGAACGGG